GGUAAAAUCGCUGAACAAAGGAUUAGACAGUAAAUCUAAAGAUAGAGGUUUGACUCCUUUUUUUACCU
rnacentral:tRNA from 1 species